rnacentral:misc_RNA from 1 species
GUGAAUCAUCGAAUCUUUGAACGCAUAUUGCGCUCUCUGGUAUUCCGGGGAGUAUGCCUGUUUCAGGGUCAUUUGAAAUCAUAUAACUUAUAAGAUUUCUCGGGAUUUAAAAUGGGGUGUCCAUUUGUUGUGGUCGCCUAAAAUCCAAUGCAAUCUAUUUUUCUUGGGUUGCGUGAUACUUUUUGUUACUGCGUGACUUAACCAGGAGUCAUCGCGCGUUUUAUGAAU